UAAUAGAUCGCGGCGAGUGCCUUUCGGGGCCAGAUGAUUGGUUAGGCCAGUUAGUUAAAGCCCAAGGGGAUAUACGGAAAGGCCGCAUGUCCACUCCUCUUGGGUUUUGCUAG
rfam:Vibrio sp. MEBiC08052 genomic scaffold scaffold00001, whole genome shotgun sequence.